GGGGUAAAAUUAAUAAAAUAAAAAUAAUAAAAGAAUUUUUAAUAUUGGGGGGUAUUAAAGUAUUUUUUUAAAAAAAAAUAAUUUAUUUUAUAGUUAAAUAGUAUUGAGAAAGAAAUUUGAAAUAAUUGAAAAUAAGUUAAUUAAAAAGUAAUUUUUAUUUAAUGUAUCUUGUGUAUCAGAGUUUAUUAAAAAAUAUUUUUUUUUAAAAAAAAAUCUCGAAUUUAAAAGAGUUAAUUAAUUAUAAAAGUUAAUGUAGAAAAAUUAUUUUAAAUAAUUAAUUUGAAAUGAAAUGUUAAUCGUUUUUAAAUAUAUCUAGUUAUUUUAGAAAAAAAUUUAAUUUAAAAUUUAAAAAAUUUAUUUUUUAAUUAUAAUUAAAAAAUAAAUUUUAAAAUUAAAUAUAUUAAGGGAUAAGCUUUAAUAUAAAAUUUUAUAAUAAAAUAAAAUUUAAAUAAAAAUUUUAAAAUUUAUAUUGUUUAAAAAUUAUAAUUUAUUAUAAAAAAUUUUAUUAAAAAUAAAAUUUAAUUAAAAAUUUAAUUUUAUAUAAAAUAAUAAUAAAAAUAAAAAAAAAUUAGAAAUAAUGAUAAAAUUAGUAUAUUAAAUAAAAAUGUAAUUUAAUUAAUUAUAAUUAAAUUAAAGGAAUUCGGCAAAAUUUUAUAUUCACUUGUUUAUCAAAAACAUGUCUUUUAGAUAAUAAUUUAAAGUCUAAUCUGCCCACUGAUAAUAUAUUAAAGGGCUGCAGUAUAUUGACUGUACAAAGGUAGCAUAAUCAAUAGUCUUUUAAUUGAAGACUUGUAUGAAAGAUUUGAUGAAAUAUAAACUGUCUCUAAUUUAAUAAUAAAAUUUAAUUUUUUAGUUAAAAAGCUAAAAUAAAAUUAAAAGACGAGAAGACCCUAUAGAGUUUAAUAUUAAGAUUAUUUAAGAUUAUUUAUUUAAUUAGAAAUUAAAAAUAAAAUUAAUAUUUUAUUGGGGUGAUAAAAAAAUUAAUAUAACUUUUUUUUUAUAAUAACAUAAAUAAGUGAAUAAUUGAUCCAUUUUUAUGAUUAAAAGAAAAAAUUACCUUAGGGAUAACAGCGUAAUAUUUUUUUUUAGUACAAAUAAAAAAAAAAGUUUGCGACCUCGAUGUUGGAUUAAGAUAAAAUUUAAAUGCAAAAGUUUAAAAUUUUGAUCUGUUCGAUCAUUAAAAUCUUACAUGAUCUGAGUUCAAACCGGUGUGAGCCAGGUUGGUUUCUAUCUUUAAUAGGAAAAAAUAUUUUAGUACGAAAGGAUCAAAUAUUUUUAAUAAUUAAAAUUUAAUGAAUAUUAAUAAUAAAUAAUUAU
rnacentral:rRNA from 1 species